rnacentral:lncRNA from 1 species
GCUGACCCCUGCUGGAACUUCGCCUCAGCCCAGGAAUGACUCCGCCCACUGUCAGUGGCCCGCCAGAGCUCAGGCUCCGCCCUGCACUGACUCUGCCUACUGGAAGACACCUGCUAGAGUUCAGCCCCAGCCCAGGUCAGCCUCUCUGUCAGGCAUGGGAGCCUGGCCCAAG